rnacentral:lncRNA from 1 species
AUCCAUCCCAGGGCAGCCCCUUUCCCCCACCUGCCAAGCCCAAGUGUGUGCUCCUUGCCCACCGUCGGUUUCUGGAGUCUGCGGGUGGGUGUUUAGAUAGCGCCAUCCGUUGCGGCGUUUAGAGUCCACCAACAGGUGAUGUCCUAGGGCACUUGUCUUUGCCUUUCUGGCUUCCUUCGCUUAGUAUGAGGGUCUCUCGUUCCAGCCCCGCGGCGGCAGAUGGCACUCGUUCUGCCGCUUUUUCCUGGCUGUGUGCGAUGCCAUCGCAUGGAUGUCCCCGGGCCUUCGAAGUGCACUCACCUGUCAGUGGACCUUUAGGUGGCUUCCAGAUCUUGGCUCUGCCCCGCGGCGGCAGAUGGCACUCGUUCUGCCGCUUUUUCCUGGCUGUGUGCGAUGCCAUCGCAUGGAUGUCCCCGGGCCUUCGAAGUGCACUCACCUGUCAGUGGACCUUUAGGUGGCUUCCAGAUCUUGGCUCUGCCCCGCGGCGGCAGAUGGCACUCGUUCUGCCGCUUUUUCCUGGCUGUGUGCGAUGCCAUCCCCGGGCCUUCGAAGUGCACUCACCUGUCAGUGGACCUUUAGGUGGCUUCCAGAUCUUGGCUCUGGUGAGUAGUGCGGCGACAGACAGAGGGUGCCCGGGUCUGCUUCCGGGAAAGUUUGGUCCCGGUGAAAUGGAGCUGUUUGGAGGCCGGCUUCGGUCUUUGUGUG